UCUGUCAUACCUGAUGCGGUAUAAUACAAAUAAAUAUAUAGGUAAUAUAUGCACUUUAUAGAAAAUAAAGAGAUGUUAUAUACUACUACCGAAUGAUUUUAUCCAAAUGUUGUUGGUUCGUACAUACCUAAAUGUCAUGUUUUCUUACGCCACCCAUCUUAUUUGAGUUAUUAGACUUACAUUAUUGGAUUUUGGAGAAAAUUUGAUGCAUCAAAAUGCUUAGCUUACUCCCAGUCUCUCCUCAUAUCGAGGUUGAAGUAUUAGGUAAUACUAUUGUUUAGCACAUAACUUAUUACAUUAUGAAUUUUGGUGUGGCUUUCGAUUUUAUUUUUGUGGACAUUAUUUUUACACAUGCAAGCAUACCACCUCUGAUUAUACCUACUAGCGGUCAUAUCCUUCACAUGGUACAAAUCCUGAUACACUUUAUAGUAUUUUUGUUAUAAUUACUUUCAUGUAAAUCCAAACUAUUAUAGUUACUGAAAUUAAUUGGACAUUUAUUUAAGCCAUUUAACAAAGCGGAGCUCCAUUUGCUAGGGUUCGCAGGUCAUGAGAUGAGGUAAACUAACUUGUAAUAAGGCGUCUAGAGGUUAGUCACGCUGAGCUCCUAUCGCACCGCAGUCGUAUUCUUGGUUUAUGUCGACGGCAAACAAAUACUAUAAUGAGUUAUUACUUAAUUAUUAUGCUUACUUUUUUUCCUUUGAUAUGUUGGUUUUUCUUCUGAUAGCUUACCACAUACUUAUAGUAUAAACAAACAGGAAUUUGGCUUUGUAAAUUAUUUUGCGCCUUUGCAUAUGAUCUGGCCAGAUUUGUAUGUAAUGCUGAGGCUUGAAGCAUCACAAAAGCUUGUACAGAAUCAUGUGUAGUGGUUGGGUUCGAAUAUAUAGAUUGAGAUUUUUUUCUUACCGAAAGGAUUGCCCUUCUUCACAUAGCUGCAGCACGUCCACAACACAUGUUUUGUCGCAUGCACGUAUCAUACGCUGUUAGCGUUUGGAUUAGAUGUUCACGUUCUAGUACUCCCUCCGUUCCUAAAUAUUGUCUUUUUAGGUACUCCCUCUGUUUAUAUUUCUUGAUGUCAUUUCUAGUAUGCAAUCAUAUGACAUGUUUCAUGUAAAUUAAUAUGGGCUGCUAUCAAUUUUUUAAUCUGCAAUUGAUCUAGUGUUUUUUACAUGGUAGCUUAAUAUCCUCUUUCCUUUUCUAAUAUGCAAACUUCUAAUAUGUGAGGUGAAGAAGUGCAUGAGUUGCGGUUCGCCUUAGGCUCCUCCCACUCGUCGACGGUCUGGUCCAGCGUCACUUAACCGUUGUGACCUGGCCGGUUUGGUUCAGCUUUGAGCUGCCCACCGCGGAGUGGGAGGACGGCAUGCUCAUGAACAUCGAGGUCGGAUCAAGUAUGAUGGUGCACCGCGGCAUGUGGUGGCCUAUUUUUUUUUGUAGUGGUACUGUAUAUGGUCUCAUCCAACAUUGAGUAUCCAUAUGUUGUUUUAAUACUGAUGAUAAUGUUGUAGCAUAAAGUAGACACCAUAUCUGGUUUGUCUUGAUGUUUUAACUAUGGUGGUUCUUGUCUGAUGCACAUUAUUCUUUGAAGGGUUAUGAUGAUAGAAAUAUAUUGACCCUGAUGUGAGAAAGGUGCCCAUUUUCCCUUUGUUAAACAUUUUCACUCUGCUUUAUGUUCUUUGCGUGGUUCCAGUUUCACACUGCUGGUGUUUCAUGCGAUAUUCAUCGCAUCCUGCUCACAUGCCUUAUGAUCGAGUAACUUGAUGAAAAACUAUGUUGUUUGUUCAUUCUGCUAUAUUAUUUUGAGAUCAUGUGGUGUAAUGAUAUUGUUGUGUUAUUUUGAGAAUUAUAUUAUUAUCAUUAUAUUCUCAUGUGCUUUUUGUCGACUACCAAAUUUUCCAAUGAAAUGUUGUUGAUAUCCCUUGAAUAAUUGCUGGACUAAAUUAUGCGAGUGGGCUAGAAAUGGGAUGGUUCAAUUAAUGAUGGAAUGAAUAGCUGGGUUGUACAUUGCCUCUGCUAAGAAAAAACAUUAAGUGGGUCAAGGUUGUGGCCCAAAAGUAAAUCUAAAAUUGACAGAAAUAAUGGGCUCCACCUAUAGUUGUGGCCUAAAAGUAAAUCUAAUAAUGGGCUAAUUAUUGGGCUUGUCCCAUUAAAACAGGUGAUUUUAACCGAUCCUACAUGGCGUCCAUGUCAUCAUUUUUGCCAUGUCACUGCAUGUGCCACGUGGACAUUGCCACAUCAGAUCCUACGUGUUUCAAGCUCAUUAGUAAUGACCAUAAUUUUGGUCGUAGAUUUUACGACCAAUAUUUUGGUCAAGGGCGGCCAUGACCAGAAUUUCAGAAAAGGUCAAGUUUGUUUGUUCUUGACGGCCAACUUUUGACGUCCUGAAUUUGGUCAAAAAAAGGUCAAUAAACGAUAACAAUGACUAAUCAACGACCAAAAAGGAGAGUCACAAUCGACCAUAUUUCUUGUAGUGGUUUCAUUGUCUUGCAGUUUUAGUUUGUUUUCAUCUCUUUACUCAACGAUGUUUCUUUUGGCGUAACGCAGUGGGAUUGUUAACCCUUUCAUUUGCUUAGCUCCCGAGUAGAAUUUACAGGUUUGACUGAAUUGUGGAGAGGAAUGGCGAUUCGUUGCUGGUGUAGAGUCAGGAGUGCUUGGAGAAGGUUGCCAAGACGGUCUCCUUCCUCGCGCAACCUGAAGGGUCAUUCCUGUUGUUGCUCACAGGUAAUUCAGUUCUGAUGCAUCUGUUCUAAUACUUUUAUGGAAUUAUAUAUAGGGGCUGCUGAUUGUGUGCGUUUACUAGUUAGAUUUUGUUUGCAAUCAAGGGUGAACACUAUGAUCGUAGUAUCAUGACUGGAAAGUUUGUGCCUAUACCAUUGCUUCUUUCCUUCAGGCUUAAACAUUUGGUAUCACAUCUCAUUAGAGCGAGCGUGUGACCUAUGUAGCUGGGAUUACUUUGGAUUCAGCGCAACAUCGGCAGCUUAUAUUUAUAAUUUGAAACCAAACAUCAUGUGCUUAUUCUUGUAUGUGAAUGUUCUCUUGAAAAUCUUAGUUGUAUUCUUUGGAGCUUAUGUGUAUAUAUCUGUGUGUGUGUGUGUAGUCGUCACUAGUUGACAAUUUAAGUAUCUUGAUACCUCCUAAAUUUUGUAACAAACAUUGCUGGUGUUGUUAUGUUAGAAGUCAAUAUGUAUCAAAAUUUGUAAUUCUGAAUCAUUUGUUUUCUUUCUCUAACGCUUUUGAUUCAUGCUUCUUUUGCGAGGGGAAGUUCAAAAGGACCGCGCGCUGGAGCUCCUAAACGUGCACCCCUUCUACUUCGUUUACUUAUGUGGCGUGAUGACAGAAAGCAAACCUUUGGAGCCAUAGUUGUCUUUUUUGUGAUCUAAAAUAAUAAUGGUAACAUAUUAAUGC
rnacentral:lncRNA from 1 species